CCUACGGGUGGCAGCAGUGAGGAAUAUUGGUCAAUGGACGAGAGUCUGAACCAGCCAAGUCGCGUGAAGGAAGACGGCACUGUGGGUUGUAAACUUCUUUUAUAAGGGAAUAAAGCGAGGGACGUGUCCCUGGUUGCAGGUACCUGAUGAAUAAGGAUCGGCUAACUCCGUGCCAGCAGCCGCGGUAAUACGGAGGAUUCGAGCGUUAUCCGGAUUUAUUGGGUUUAAAGGGAGCGUAGGUGGGUUGUUAAGUCAGUGGUGAAAGUCUGCGGCUUAACCGUCAAAUUGCCUUUGAUACUGGCAGUCUUGAGUAGAGUUGAGGUACGCGGAAUUCGCGGUGUAGCGGUGAAAUGCUUAGAUAUCACGAAGAACCCCGAUUGCGAAGGCAGCUUACUAA
rnacentral:rRNA from 1 species